UACGUAGGGAGCAAGCGUUGUCCGGAAUCAUUGGGCGUAAAGCGCGCGUAGGUGGCUUCGUAAGUCCGUUGUGAAAGUCAAAGGCUCAACCUUUGAAAGCCGAUGGAUACUGUGGAGCUAGAGUACGGAAGAGGCGAGUGGAAUUCCUGGUGUAGCGGUGGAAUGCGCAGAUAUCAGGAGGAACGACCAACGGCGAAGGCAGCACUCGUGGCCGGUACUGACGCUGAGGAGCGAAGCGUGGGGAGC
rnacentral:rRNA from 1 species